GGGUGGUAAAUUCCAUCUAAAGCUAAAUAUUGGCGAGAGACCGAUAGCGAACAAGUACAGUGAUGGAAAGAUGAAAAGAACUUUGAAAAGAGAGUGAAAAAGUACGUGAAAUUGUUGAAAGGGAAGGGCUUGAGAUCAGACUUGGUAUUUUGCAUGCUGCUCUCUCGGGGGCGGCCGCUGCGGUUUACCGGGCCAGCAUCGGUUUGGAGCGGCAGGAUAAUGGCGGAGGAAUGUGGCACGGCUUCUGCUGUGUGUUAUAGCCUCUGACGAUGCUGCCAGCCUAGACCGAGGACUGCGGUUUUUAACCUAGGAUGUUGGCAUAAUGAUCUUAAGUCGCCCGUCUUGAAACACGGAC
rnacentral:rRNA from 1 species